rnacentral:rRNA from 1 species
AUUGAACGCUGGCGGCAGGCCUAACACAUGCAAGUCGAGCGAGCGGCGGACGGGUGAGUAAUGUCUGGGAAACUUCCUGAUGGAGGGGGCUAACUCCUGGAAACGGUAGCUAAUACCGCAUACCAUCAGAUGUGCCCCGAUGGGAUUAGCUAGUAGGUGGGGUAAAGGCCUACCAAGGCGAAGAUACGUAACUGUUCUGAGAGGAUGAUCAGUCACACUGGAACUGAGACACGGUCCAGACUCCUACGUGAGGCAGCAGUGGGGAAUAUUGGACAAGGGGCGAAAGCCUGAUCCAGCCAUGCCGCGUGUGUGAAGAAGGUCUUCGGAUUGUAAAGCACUUUAAGUUGGGAGGCGUUACCCGCAGAAGAAGCCACGGCUAACUACGUGCCAGCAGCCGCGGUAAUUC